rnacentral:rRNA from 1 species
UAGGGAAUCUUCCGCAAUGGACGCAAGUCUGACGGAGCAACGCCGCGUGAGUGAAGAAGGAUUUCGGUUCGUAAAACUCUGUUGUUAGAGAAGAACAGCGCAUAGAGUAACUGUUAUGCGUGUGACGGUAUCUAACCAGAAAGCCACGGCUAACUACGUGCCAGCAGCCGCGGUAAUACGUAGGUGGCAAGCGUUGUCCGGAUUUAUUGGGCGUAAAGCGAGCGCAGGCGGUCAAUUAAGUCUGAUGUGAAAGCCCCCGGCUCAACCGGGGCGGGUCAUUGGCAACUGGUUGACUUGAGUGCAGAAGAGGAGAGUGGAAUUCCAUGUGUAGCGGUGAAAUGCGUAGAUAUAUGGAGGAACACCAGUGGCGAAGGCGACUCUCUGGUCUGUAACUGACGCUGAGGUUCGAAAGCGUGGGUAGCAAACAGG